UACGGAAGGCAGCAGUGGGGAAUAUUGGACAAUGGGCGCAAGCCUGAUCCAGCCAUGCCGCGUGAGUGAUGAAGGCCUUAGGGUUGUAAAGCUCUUUUAUCCGGGACGAUAAUGACGGUACCGGAGGAAUAAGCCCCGGCUAACUUCGUGCCAGCAGCCGCGGUAAUACGAAGGGGCUAGCGUUGCUCGGAAUCACUGGGCGUAAAGGGCGCGUAGGCGGUCUUUUUAAGUCGGGGUGAAAGCCUUGUGGCUCAACCACAGAAUUGCCUUCGAUAACUGGGAGACUUUGAGUUCGGAAGAGGUUGGUGGAACUGCGAGUGUAGAGGUGAAAUUCGUAGAUAUUCGCAAGAACACCGGUGGCGAAGGCGGCCAACUGGUCCGACACUGACGCUGAGGCGCGAAAGCGUGGGGAGCAAACAGGGAUUAGAUA
rnacentral:rRNA from 1 species